GACAAGUUCUUGGCCAUUAUCUCUCCACUACAACCUCCAUGAUUGGUUUUGGUUUUUAAGGAGCUGCGGGCUUCCAGAAUGUGAACUAUUGUAAUCUGUUGUGGGACGACAAUAAACAGUGUACUUCCUUGAUGAAUAAGUCUACCAUGACAAGCAAAAUACAAAACAUCUGGGAGUCUCUGUGGAUGAGGGAUGGCAUAAAGCCUUGGUGGUACCCAAAGAAGAUGGGCCCCGUGGUCUGUUUGGGAAUGGUUUUGGGACUUCUCCCUCGAAAUCGGGAUGGUUACUGGUCGUUUUGUGUGGCCUAUAUUACAGGAUCCAUAUGCCUUCUGAUCUUAACAGUUUUUUGGGUUAUAUUCUUUGUUUUCAUGGAAGUGUGCAUUAAUGGUGAGCAGAGUGACGUCAAGAGCCUGUGUGAAAAUUCUGCUUGCAUUGCCCUUGGGGUAACGGCAUUUCACAACAUGAUCUGGUUCUGGUCCCACUCUCGGACUGUGCGAAGCUUUCUGGUGAAAUGCAAGGAACUGGAGGUAUGGCAGAAGGUGGGAAGAAAUAUAGGAUACUGCCCCUUACUGCUGCUGCUGCUUACCUCAUUUGACUCCUUGCUUCCUGCACUGUGGUUUAUAGGUGACCUAACUUUCUGCACCUCACCAUUUUGGACUAAGGUUUGUAUACUCCCCUGCUACUGGUUCCUGAGAGUGACAGCUGUGUUCCCCAUCCUGCUAUAUAUAGCAGUAGCUGGCUUCUUGAAAGACUAUGCAGCCUACCUGGGGACCAGGAUAGAAAUCACAGCAAGGCUUGUGGAUACGGUAAAGGAAGGAGCCAGGGCCAUGCCGAUGGGAACAUUUGGACGGGGAGGCACAUUGGAUAGUCGAAGGAUAGAAUUAGCUAGGGCAACAAGGAAGAAGUCGGUUGAGGAUCAAGAUAACCUAGAUGAUGCAUUGGAUGAAGUUAUCAGAGAGUGGCGCCAUCUGUCUGACCUUCACGAUCGCUUGGCUAAGGUGUUGAGCAUGCCACUACUAUGUGCCUCGGCUUAUCAAACAGUGAUGGUCAUUGUGGGAGCAUUCUUCUUAACUGAUGCAACGACUCUCCUGAAGAUUCUGACUUGUGUGUUGAUGAUGGUGACUGCCAUCACCUUGCUCUAUGUUCAGGGUUAUGCAGCCGAUUCCUUCCUCCAACAGUCAAAGUCAGCACGUGUGGCUCACAUCUCGCACUAAUGUUCCUGGCAGACACUGUACUUCCAUCAAGCUGUGCGCCAGAUGCAGAUCACCCUGCUGUCACCUCGUGUCAACCUGGCCGAUAGCUCGUUGAUUGAGCAGGUGUUGCAACUGAUUGAUGAUGCCGGGAACCCCUUGGAGAUGAACAUGUGUGGGCUCUU
rnacentral:misc_RNA from 1 species